rnacentral:rRNA from 1 species
GUGAGACGCGGCAGACGGCUCAGUAACACGUGGCUAACCUACCCUCAGGACGGGGACAAACCCGGGAAACUGGGGCUAAUACCCGAUAAGCGAGGAUGCCUGGAAUGGUUUUUCACCAAAAGGGCUUUGGAAGCAUGCUUUCUAACGUCGCCUGGGGAUGGGGCCGCGUCCGAUCAGGUUGUUGGUGAGGUAACGGCUCACCAAGCCUAUAACCGGUACGGGCCGUGAGAGCGGUAGCCCGGAUAUGGGUACUGAUACAAGGACCCAUGCCCUACGGGGCGCACCAGUCUCGAAAACUCCGCAAUGCACGAAAGUGUGACGGGGCUACCCCGAGUGCCGUCCGCUGAGGAUGGCUUUUCCUUGGUGUAACUAGCCGGGGGAAUAAGGAGAGGGCAAGACUGGUGUCAGCCGACGCUGUAAUACCAGCUCUCCGAAUGGUAGGGAUGAUUAUUGGG